AUACGUAGGUGGCAAGCGUUGUCCGGAAUGAUUGGGCGUAAAGGGCGCGUAGGCGGCCUGUUAAGUCUGGAGUGAAAGUCCUGUUUUCAAGAUGGGAAUUGCUUUGGAUACUGAUGGGCUUGAGUGCAGGAGAGGUUAUCGGAAUUCCCGGUGUAGCGGUGAAAUGCGUAGAGAUCGGGAGGAACACCAGUGGCGAAGGCGGGUAACUGGACUGCAACUGACGCUGAGGCGCGAAAGUGUGGGGAGCAAACAGGAUUAGAUACCCUGGUAGUCCACACCGUAAACGAUGAAUGCUAGGUGUAAGAGGUAUCGACCCCUUUUGUGCCGGAGUUAACACAAUAAGCAUUCCGCCUGGGGAGUACGGCCGCAAGGUUGAAACUCAAAUGAAUUGACGGGG
rnacentral:rRNA from 1 species